AUUGAACGCUGGCGGCAUGCCUUACACAUGCAAGUCGAACGGCAGCAUGAUCUAGCUUGCUAGAUUGAUGGCGAGUGGCGCACGGGUGAGUAAUACAUCGGAACGUGCCCUGUAGUGGGGGAUAACUAGUCGAAAGAUUAGCUAAUACCGCAUACGACCUGAGGGUGAAAGUGGGGGACCGCAAGGCCUCAUGCUAUAGGAGCGGCCGAUGUCUGAUUAGCUAGUUGGUGAGGUAAAGGCUCACCAAGGCGACGAUCAGUAGCUGGUCUGAGAGGACGAUCAGCCACACUGGGACUGAGACACGGCCCAGACUCCUACGGGAGGCAGCAGUGGGGAAUUUUGGACAAAGGGCGAAAGCCUGAUCCAGCAAUGCCGCGUGUGUGAAGAAGGCCUUCGGGUUGUAAAGCACUUUUGUCCGGAAAGAAAUGGCUCUGGUUAAUACCUGGGGUCGAUGACGGUACCGGAAGAAUAAGGACCGGCUAACUACGUG
rnacentral:rRNA from 1 species